rnacentral:lncRNA from 1 species
AUGUGCCUGGUUCUGAGAGCUACUGCUGUUGUUCCAUUUUACAGAUGUGGACCGGUCACCAUGAGCCCAGGGCCGUGCAGCUUGUGCAUGUUGGAACCACAUCCUGACAUAAAUCAGUGGCCCAGACUCUGUCCCUCCCGGAGGAAAGUACAAAGGGACAGCGUGCCACAAAAACAUUGGUACGGAACCAUCAGAACCAUCCCUGGCUGUGAAAUGCGGGAGGGCCAUGCCAGCGCAUCCCAAGGGAAGGCUCCAGGAGGAAUGUGUCCCCCCCUCGCUCCGGAGAGACAUGAGGCCGUUCCGGGUCUUCACUGUAGUCAACAGAGCUGCAUGGAACGUGGCUCCGGCACGCUCGUGGAAUGUGCCAUGUGCCAUGGACAGCAGGAACCUCAGAGGCGGAACUGCACGGGGGACCUGCCAUCAUGCUCCCACCCCAGGGGGUCAGCACGACGCCCUGCUGCCACACCACGCAGCUGGCCACGGGCCAGGGGGCCCUUCAGUGUCCCACCGGGGACUCACUCUGACCAGAGAGCAAAGGCGUUCAGUCAGCUGGAUUUUCAAAUGACUUCACCACCAAAUCCACCUCCUCAGCCCUUGGCUUGUGAAUGUGAGUCCUUCCCUGGAGACACUAUUAGAAAGAAGAGGACGGAGAAGGAGAAGAAGGAGGGCCGGUGGAGAAGAGCAUCCUCAGAACGUGGAAAGCAUUGCUUCCUGCACCGAGGGAGCCAGGCAGACUAGAACCCAGACCCGCAGACCCCGGUCCCUUGGCUCUGCCCGAGCUCCCCCGGCCCAACAGAGCAUUCAACAGGCACUGUCCUUGCCAGCUCAGAAACAGCGAGAUCCACACCUGCGCUCCUUUGAGCCUUCCUUAGUCCCCAAGUCACCAGAAGGUGUUUUGAACACCUACAUCGUCCCUGCCACCACGCGGCCACUUCGGAGGUGAACAUCUCUGGGGUUCACAGACGAGAUGGAACCACCCCAGGUACGUUCUCUGAAGCGGAAACUGCAGCAGGAUGAGCCUAGGCUGCCCCUGCCCGGCGGGACAGGACAGGGCUGUGACCUUGCUUCCUGAGCAUGGCCAUUUCCCGUGGACGGUGGCCCGGCCUGCUGCCACCACGAACCGCCCUGCCGAGCCCACCCCAUUCACACCACAACGACUGAUCUAGACAUUAUUUAUAGACCCGAAAUCCACAGAAACCGUUGUGCCUGCUGUUGCUGCGGCAACAGGGACGUGGUGCAAGCUUGGGCUUGAAGGGACCACGGAGGCCGGUGAAGGCGGCUGAUCUCCAGCCGGGAGCCCCCAGCUCCCACACGCUAUCGGGGGUCACCAGAAAUGAAAGGAGGCUUUCAAUUGUGCUUCCAGUGAGGGCUGGCACAUGUCCCGGAAAGCAGCACCACCAGGGUGUUAGUGGUUGGGUUUUGUUAAGCCUCUUGAUGAAAUCGUCCAGAACAAGGCCCCCGAGCCUGGUGGAGCAUUGGC